rnacentral:lncRNA from 1 species
AGUCUGAGAAAAAAUGUCAAAGGUAGUGCCAAAAUUGUCACUUAAAGAACUGCAGGAAUGGAGUUGGCAUUUACAGAAUUUGGAAGAGAAGCAGGUUUAGUGAUAAAGACCAGAAGCACAGAGCUAAGCAUAUUAAAUAUUGAGGACAUGAAGAGGAAAGAACUGACAGAGGAGGUGAAGAAAGGUGAUCAGGAAGAGCCAUCAAAGUGUUAUCCUGGAAUUCAAGUGAAGACAGUGUUUCAAAGUGGAAAUGAACAGUGUCCUGUAACCCUCAGAGUGAGACUAGAGUCAGAAUGCAAGCUUUUCUCAUUUGAAAUCUAGUGGUUGUGCUACCAAGGCCUGAAACUUCGGAAAAACCUGCAUAACACAAAAUAUAUAUGCCACAGAGAGGAUCCAGAGAGCUCAUCUCCGGUCAGUUAUCUGUAUUUGCAUGUCAACUACAGCAUCAAAAAGCAUAGGCAUGGAUACUAAGGACCCCCUCUGUACACCAACGCCAGUCCAAAGGAUAGUGUGUCACUGUGAACUGGAAAUUCAUCUCUCUUCUUCAUUUUUUUUCUACCUACUUUAUGCUUUAUCUCUAAGUUGAGGCUGUUUAUGGCCUCAUCCUCAAUUACCUUGUCCCUC